CUAGCCUCUUGAAGGGUAGGGCAUGUCUAUAUUGCAUCUGCCUCACUCCUUCCUCUCUGUUUGACCCCCAGGACAGGGUUUCUCUGUGUAUCUUUGGAGGAAAUUUUAAUUUGUAAAGCCGAAAGUCUUCAUAUUUGGGCCGAUGAGAUGGACCUUGAGCCUGGUAACUUAUGUUCGAUUCCAAGACUCAUACUUAAGAAGAUGUCUUCUGGCUUUCCCGUGGGAGUCUGGGUAUGCACACGUGUGCAUACAUACACCCAAAUAAAUACAUUUUAAAAUACAAAAAA
rnacentral:lncRNA from 1 species